CCUACGGGAGGCAGCAGUGGGGAAUUUUGGACAAUGGGCGAAAGCCUGAUCCAGCAAUGCCGCGUGAGUGAAGAAGGCCUUCGGGUUGUAAAGCUCUUUUGUCAGGGAAGAAACGGUGAGAGCUAAUAUCUCUUGCUAAUGACGGUACCUGAAGAAUAAGCACCGGCUAACUACGUGCCAGCAGCCGCGGUAAUACGUAGGGUGCAAGCGUUAAUCGGAAUUACUGGGCGUAAAGCGUGCGCAGGCGGUUUUGUAAGUCUGAUGUGAAAUCCCCGGGCUCAACCUGGGAAUUGCAUUGGAGACUGCAAGGCUAGAAUCUGGCAGAGGGGGGUAGAAUUCCACGUGUAGCAGUGAAAUGCGUAGAUAUGUGGAGGAACACCGAUGGCGAAGGCAGCCCCCUGGGUCAAGAUUGACGCUCAUGCACGAAAGCGUGGGGAGCAAACAGGAUUAGGAUACCCUGGUAGUCCAGCCCUAAACGAUGUCUACUAGUUGUCGGGUCUUAAUUGACUUGGUAACGCAGCUAACGCGUGAAGUGACCGCCUGGGGAAUCGGUGCAGNUUAAACGNAAGAUGNGNNGAGAGNGCGAGCGACGACGAGGGAGAGG
rnacentral:rRNA from 1 species